AGUUCAUGGGGUUGCAAAGAGUUGGACACGACUGAGCCACUGAACUGACUGAAGACGCUAUUAUGCCCAUUUCACAGUUGGUACAUCUGAGGCUCAGAGAAAUCCAUUGACUUAUGAAGAACCUACUAGGGAACACCAUUGGGAGUUGAAUGCAAGUCUCUUCAUUCCUUAUACUUUUCCCCCCCCAGUAUUUUGGUCUGAAGUAUUAUUCUAUGUCCCAUUGUAUGUGAAAUUUAAAACAAUUUGUCUAGAAGCAGGAUAUUGGUGUUGUCUGCUUUUCAAACUGGGCAUUAAAAUUUGUUAAGUCCUUUAGAGAUGGGCAAAGUUUCACAGGGUUGUGCAGCCUUGGUAUCUAUGAAGACUGUCUCCAAUAAGAAUCUAACUUACAGCCUCAACCCUGAAUAUUCAUUGGAAGGACUGAUGCUGAAGCUGAAGCUCCAUUCCUUUGGACACGUGAUGUGAAGAGCUGACUCACUGGAAAAGACCUUGAUGCUGGGAAAGACUGAGGGCAGGAGGAGAAUGGAGAAUGGUGCAACUGAGGAUGAGAUGGUUGGAUGGCAUCACUGAAUCAAUGGACAUGAGUUUGAGCAAACUCCAGAAGACAGUGAAGGAAAAGGAAAGCCUGUUGUGCUGCAGUCCAUGGGGUUGCAAAAGGUCAGACAACUUAACGACUGAACAACAACAAUAUAUGAAUCAUUUGCUAGCCCCCUUCUUGUGAUGGAAUGUUUUGUGUUUUCAGGAGAGGAAGCCACUGAAAAGUGGGGUAAAGAUAAAGAUAAUAGAAGACGGUCAAUGAAGAAGAGACUGAAAUGAUGACGUAGGAUGCAAGAAUGUGGUGUCCUUGGACAGAGAAGAAUGGAGGCAGGAUACAGAAUAGAAAGCCAAGGAAUGUUCAAGAAGUCACGUGGGAAAAGCAAUAUGAAAGCCAAAGUUGGAGAAAUUUUACCCUGGACAACGUUGAGAAGAUUCUUGGAGGGGCACUCAGAAGGCGUGACAAGACGAAGGCUCCCUCCAAGAGCUCUCGUAGAGCGCUCACCAAGACGUGAGGAGACACCACUUGCCCAGGCUGCAAGCGCGAGGGCUCUCACGGCCGCGGAAGUCCCCCAGGAUCUCCGAGCUCCACCCACCAUUUCGGUGCAGGGGCACUCGCGACCGCAGGGCUUGGCCGGAGCAGUUUCCGGGCACAUCCCUCCAGUGGCUCUUCUACACCGCCGUCGGAGAGAGGACCCAGCGGGCAAGACCCCUGCCUGUCCCGCGCGCGCUCAAACUCUUGACUUCCGCUCUGCAUCCCUGGUCCCUGCCCUGUCCCUCGCCCUUGGGAGCAUCCACUUAUCCUUCGGGGACCUCACGUGCCUGAGCACAGGGGUCCUCGAGGACUAGCCGGGGUGACCGGGCGUGGGAGGGCGGUCGGAGCUGGGAACGCGCAGCAGUGUCCGGGGUGAGAGAGCCUCCCGACCCCUGGGCCAGGGGAGGGACACGGAGAGAAAGUCCGUAGGAAGGAGAUGGACACAGAAUUGGGAGACUCUGGGGGUGGGGGGUGGGGAUUUACCCCUUGUGGUAAGAG
rnacentral:lncRNA from 1 species